rnacentral:rRNA from 1 species
ANCGNGAAGAACCUUACCUGGUCUUGACAUCCACGGAAGUUUUCAGAGAUGAGAAUGUGCCUUCGGGANCCGUGAGACAGGUGCUGCAUGGCUGUCGUCAGCUCGUGUUGUGAAAUGUUGGGUUAAGUCCCGCAACGAGCGCAACCCUUAUCCUUUGUUGCCAGCGGUCCGGCCGGGAACUCAAAGGAGACUGCCAGUGAUAAACUGGAGGGAGGUGGGGAUGACGUCAAGUCAUCAUGGCCCUUACGACCAGGGCUACACACGUGCUACAAUGGCGCAUACAAAGAGAAGCGACCUCGCGAGAGCAAGCGGACCUCAUAAAGUGCGUCGUAGUCCGGAUUGGAGUCUGCAACUCGACUCCAUGAAGUCGGAAUCGCUAGUAAUCGUGGAUCANAAUGCCACGGUGAAUACGUUCCCGGGCCUUGUACACACCGCCCGUCACACCAUGGGAGUGGGUUGCAAANNAAGUAGGUAGCUUNACCUUCGGGAGGGCGCUUACCACUUUGNGAUUCAUGACUGGGGGG